rnacentral:rRNA from 1 species
GGAUUAGAUACCCUGGUAGUCCACGCCGUAAACGAUGGGCACUAGGCAGGGGAGGUUCCGAUGCCUUCCUUGCUGGAGCAAAUGUUUUAAGUGCCCCGCCUGGGGAGUACAGUCGCAAGGCCGAAACUCAAAGGAAUUGACGGGGGCUCACACAAGCGGUGGAGCAUGUGGUUUAAUUCGAAGCAACGCGCAAAACCUUACCUGGGUUUGACAUGCACGGAUUAGCUGCUGGAAACAGUAGUGACGCUCGCAAGAGUGGAACGUGCACAGGUGCUGCAUGGCUGUCGUCAGCUCGUGCCG